rnacentral:rRNA from 1 species
AGGUAAGCUACUAAGAGCGAAUGGUGGAUGCCUUGACUGGUAAAGGCGAUGAAGGACGUACUAGACUGCGAUAAGCUACGGGGAGCUGUCAAGAAGCUUUGAUCCGUAGAUUUCCGAAUGGGGCAACCCAAUGUAUAGAGAUAUACAUUACCUAUAUAGGAGCGAACGAGGGGAAUUGAAACAUCUUAGUACCCUCAGGAAAAGAAAUCAAUAGAGAUUGCGUCAGUAGCGGCGAGCGAAAGCGCAAGAGGGCAAACCCAGUGCUUGCACUGGGGGUUGUAGGACUGCAAUGUGCAAGAGGUGAGUUUAGCAGAACAUUCUGGAAAGUAUAGCCAUAGAGGGUGAUAGUCCCGUAUGCGAAAAACAAACCUUAGCUAGCAGUAUCCUGAGUAGGGCGGGACACGAGAAAUCCUGUCUGAAGCUGGGUCGACCACGAUCCAACCCUAAAUACUAAUACCAGAUCGAUAGUGCACAAGUACCGUGAGGGAAAGGUGAAAAGAACUGAGGUGAUCAGAGUGAAAUAGAACCUGAAACCAUUUGCUUACAAUCAUUCAGAGCCCUAUGUAGCAAUACAGGGUGAUGGACUGCCUUUUGCAUAAUGAGCCUGCGAGUUGUGGUGUCUGGCAAGGUUAAGCAAACGCGAAGCCGUAGCGAAAGCGAGUCUGAAUAGGGCGCUUAGUCAGAUGCUGCAGACCCGAAACGAAGUGAUCUAUCCAUGAGCAAGUUGAAGCUAGUGUAAGAACUAGUGGAGGACUGAACCCAUAGGCGUUGAAAAGCCCCGGGAUGACUUGUGGAUAGGGGUGAAAGGCCAAUCAAACUUCGUGAUAGCUGGUUCUCUCCGAAAUAUAUUUAGGUAUAGCGUUGUGUCGUAAUAUAAGGGGGUAGAGCACUGAAUGGGCUAGGGCAUACACCAAUGUACCAAACCCUAUCAAACUCCGAAUACCUUAUAUGUAAUCACAGCAGUCAGGCGGCGAGUGAUAAAAUCCGUCGUCAAGAGGGAAACAACCCAGACUACCAGCUAAGGUCCCUAAAUCUUACUUAAGUGGAAAACGAUGUGAAGUUACUUAAACAACCAGGAGGUUGGCUUAGAAGCAGCCAUCCUUUAAAGAAAGCGUAAUAGCUCACUGGUCUAGUGAUUUUGCGCGGAAAAUAUAACGGGGCUAAAGUAAGUACCGAAGCUGUAGACUUGCGCACAACUUAGAUUAUUUAAGUUUAGAAUAUGAGAAACUAAGUUAUAUGUUUAGUUAUAUUUUUACUGAUUUUUAUAGAGUAAAGAUAGAAAUAAAACUUAGUAAAAUCAGUAAAAAUAUUCUUAGACUAAAGUUAAGUAGUUUAAGUUGUGUGCAAGUGGUAGGAGAGCGUUCUAUUUGCGUCGAAGGUAUACCGGUAAGGAGUGCUGGAGCGAAUAGAAGUGAGCAUGCAGGCAUGAGUAGCGAUAAUUAAUGUGAGAAUCAUUAACGCCGUAAACCCAAGGUUUCCUACGCGAUGCUCGUCAUCGUAGGGUUAGUCGGGUCCUAAGUCGAGUCCGAAAGGGGUAGACGAUGGCAAAUUGGUUAAUAUUCCAAUACCAACAUUAGUGUGCGAUGGAAGGACGCUUAGGGCUAAGGGGGCUAGCGGAUGGAAGUGCUAGUCUAAGGUCGUAGGAGGUUAUACAGGCAAAUCCGUAUAACAAUACUCCGAGAACUGAAAGGCUUUUUGAAGUCUUCGGAUGGAUAGAAGAACCCCUGAUGCCGUCGAGCCAAGAAAAGUUUCUAAGUUUAGCUAAUGUUGCCCGUACCGUAAACCGACACAGGUGGGUGGGAUGAGUAUUCUAAGGCGCGUGGAAGAACUCUCUUUAAGGAACUCUGCAAAAUAGCACCGUAUCUUCGGUAUAAGGUGUGGUUCGCUUCGUAUUAGGAUUUACUCCGAAAGCGAAGAAACUUACAACAAAGAGUCCCUCCCGACUGUUUACCAAAAACACAGCACUCUGCUAACUCGUAAGAGGAUGUAUAGGGUGUGACGCCUGCCCGGUGCUCGAAGGUUAAUUGAUGGGGUUAGCAUUAGCGAAGCUCUUGAUCGAAGCCCGAGUAAACGGCGGCCGUAACUAUAACGGUCCUAAGGUAGCGAAAUUCCUUGUCGGUUAAAUACCGACCUGCAUGAAUGGCGUAACGAGAUGGGAGCUGUCUCAAAGAGGGAUCCAGUGAAAUUGUAGUGGAGGUGAAAAUUCCUCCUACCCGCGGCAAGACGGAAAGACCCCGUGGACCUU